UUAUUCUUAGGGCAAUUAGACACAGAAACUGAGCAUUCUCGGGAGUUCAUAUAAACCCAUAAAUGUGACUAAACUAGCUCAAACUAACAAGGAUCACAGAAAAGUGGACCACCUGGAGCAGGGUUCGAACCAUUCACCCUUCAUACAGGAUGAUGCACUUCAAUACCAGAGCCACACGUGAUAGUAAUUGUGUUUGUUCUGUCUAUAGGCAUUUAAAUUAUUGUUUUAUAUUCUAUAUCUAGAUGGGUUGGUCAUCUCAAUCAAUCUUUUAUGUUCUCUGAAUGGCAUCCUGAGCUAAAAUAACUUUUCCAGGCAUUGCUUACGAUAAAUCUGAGGCCAGGUGGGACCCAACUGACAUUUCAGCUAAGAGUCUGAUACCUAAGAGAGCCGACCAGUAAGACACCUGUAGUGGAUUAAAGAUAACCACAGAUUCUUUGCUUCUCCUCCCAUCAAGAAGAUGGAGUGUGUGUCCAUCCCCUGGAACCUGAGCUUGCUUGACCAAUAGAAUUCAGAGGCAAUGAUGUUCCAGAGCUUCUAAGGUUAAGUCAUAGAAGCCUCGCAGAUUCCACCAUGACUCUUAGAACACUCGAUCUGGGAAAAGCCAAUGACCACAUAAGGCUGACUGCUCUGAGGCUGCCAUCCUGUGAGGCAGCCCAGCUAGAUGAGCAAAGAUGUCAUGUGGAGAGAGAACAAUGGCCAACCAGCCCAAGCGGCUCCAGCCAUUCCGACCCAGGCGCCAGACAUGGAGGUGAAGAAGGCAUCUCGGACAUUUCAGCUCCAGCAGACGUGCUGUGGAGAAAAACUGAGACAUCCAACCCACAGCCAAGAUCACAGCCUCAGACAUAUGGCCCCAGUUAAACCAUCCCAACCACCUGCAGCCGUCUGAGCCGUCCAAUCAUCAUGGAACAGAGAUGAGCUGUUCCUACUGGGCCCUAUCCAAUUCCUGACCCAAAAGAUCCCAGCCAUAAUCAAUGUUGUUUAAUGCCGCUUAGUUUAGGGUUGUUUGUUACUCAGAGAUUGAAAGCCAGAAAACCGGCCCCAGCUGAACAGUGCCUUAAGAAGUUGAUUGCUGCCUGGAUGGGCAGGAACUCAUAUGUACCUUAAAUAUCCACCCAGAUCCAACGUGAAAAUGGACGUUUCCUUCACUUGCAGAUGAUUACACACUUCUGCUGGUUAUUCGUAUCUUGUCUUGGUCUUUUUAUUUUAUUAUUUAUAUACCCGAAGACAAAGGCCAAACUUUGUUCCAAGGACAGGUGUUCCCUUGGGGGUGGGAGGAGGGCAGGAAAACUCCACGAUUUAAAAGAAGAAAAGGUGGAAACGCUGGUAAAUCAGAAUUGAAUAGGUUUCGCUCUUGCAAGACUUCUCAAAGCUGCUGGCAUGUAAAUGUGCACAGUGACUCGCCAAGAAGGAAACAGGAGAUGGGGCACCUUCCAAGUCGAUUAGAUCCUGAAGAGGUUAUUGGGUCCCAUGUACCAUCUUGCAGGAUUAGCAUUUCCCUGAAUGACAGCCCUGGACAGAGCUCUGAGCCACUCGUCAGCAUCGCUGUUUCUGCCUUGGUUUGCAGCUGCUCAGCAGGCAGACGCGCGCACGUUGUUCUGGAAGUACAACACACAGCAGUGCACUCUGGGAGAUGCACAUAUAACAGAGCCUUCUGGAGGAAGCCAGAGAAGGCCUUCAGUGGGUGCACACAGACCAGGCCCCAUCCCUGUCACACCUACCUCUCUUCUGAUUGUUUAGGCCUCGGGAGACUGGGUGAUGACCAUCCAUCCACACAGUUGAGUGCUCCUGAGGACUGUCGGGACACUGGAAGCCCUCUGGUUUACCUCAUAUCCCGGUACCUGCAGUGCGCGACCAGGUGGCGGCCUCCCCUGGGCAUCUCAUCUGCAUUUCAGGCAGGAAGAACGAGAGAGGGGAAAAAAUGGAGAAAAAAGGUUCUUGUCAGCUACGUCUGCCCCCUUUCAUGAGGAAAUAAAACAGUAUCUAUCAGUUUUAAAAAAUCCACCCAGUGGGCUGUCCUUACAGCCAUUGGCCAAGACUGAGUCCUGAGGCCCCAGAGUAAAGGAAUCUGUGCUGGGAAGGGGGGCACGUGGCUGCCCUCUCAAAAUACGGUAAGGAAGGAAGAAUCGACGUAAGAUCAGCAACCGCAAUGUCUGACGUUGAUCAAAACGAAAAGACCGGGCCUGUCUUUAUUCACAAAAAUAAAUUUUAAAAGUUCUAAACAGAUGCGUUUGGG
rnacentral:lncRNA from 1 species